AGAGUUUGAUCCUGGCUCAGGAUGAACGCUGGCGGUAUGCGUAACACAUGCAAGUCGAACGAAGUUUUUCGGAACUUAGUGGCGGACGGGUGAGUAACGCGUGAGAAUCUGCCUUAAGGAUUGGGACAACAGUGGGAAACCGCUGCUAAUACCAAAUAUGCCUUUUAGUGAAACGGGUAAAACCGCCUUAAGAUGAGCUCGCGUCUGAUUAGCUAGUUGGUGUGGUAAGAGCGCACCAAGGCAACGAUCAGUAGCUGGUCUGAGAGGACGACCAGCCACACUGGGACUGAGACACGGCCCAGACUCCUACGGGAGGCAGCAGUGAGGAAUUUUCCGCAAUGGGCGAAAGCCUGACGGAGCAAUACCGCGUGAGGGAGGAAGGUUCUUGGAUUGUAAACCUCUUUUCUCAGAGAAGAAUAAUGACGGUAUCUGAGGAAUAAGCAUCGGCUAACUCCGUGCCAGCAGCCGCGGUAAUACGGAGGAUGCAAGCGUUAUCCGGAAUGAUUGGGCGUAAAGGGUCUGUAGGUGGUUGUUCAAGUCUGCUGUUAAAGCGUCUGGCUUAACCAGAUAAAGGCGGUGGAAACUGAACGACUAGAGUGCGGUAGGGGUAGAGGGAAUUCCCAGUGUAGCGGUGAAAUGCGUAGAUCUUGGGAAGAACACCUGUGGCGAAAGCGCUCUACUGGACCGCGACUGACACUCAUGGACGAAAGCUAGGGGAGCGAAUGGGAUUAGAUACCCUAGUAGUCC
rnacentral:rRNA from 1 species